GUUUACAUGAUGAUUUACUACUAUUAUAAUCACGACGGUCAACAUAAAUAUUUAACCUUGAUGACCACCGCCUGUGACAGGGCAUUGGAUCUGACA
rfam:Aspergillus niger supercontig An04